UGAGGUUAUCAUUCUCUCUGUCUAUAUUUUCAAUUUUGAAAUUGACUUUUAGCUUUUGCUGAAAUAGACUCUACUAAUAUUUCUAAUUUGUCUGUUUACCGUCGGACUUAAAAAAUGGAUAAACCAGUAGUAUUAUCGAGAGUUUUGAAGGUUUUGGGCCGUACAGGAUCGCAAGGUCAAUGUACGCAAGUUAAAGUUGAGUUCAUUGGGGAACAAAAUCGUCAAAUCAUUAGAAACGUAAAAGGACCCGUACGUGAAGGCGAUAUACUUACACUCCUCGAAUCCGAAAGAGAAGCAAGAAGACUUCGAUAAUGUUUUUAAUACAAGUAUGUAAAUUUAUCUCGAAAAUGAAUAACGGAAACAACAAAAUGUAAUUAAAUUUAUAUUGGUACAAUAAAAAUAAAUACAUGCAUUAAAAAUUA